AAUAGAUACCCAGGUAGUCCAUGCCGUAAACGUUGGGAACUAGAUGUGGGGGCCAUUCCACGGUCUCCGUGUCGCAGCUAACGCAUUAAGUUCCCCGCCUGGGGAGUACGGCCGCAAGGCUAAAACUCAAAGGAAUUGACGGGGGCCCGCACAAGCGGCGGAGCAUGCGGAUUAAUUCGAUGCAACGCGAAGAACCUUACCAAGGCUUGACAUAUACGAGAACGCUGCAGAAAUGUAGAACUCUUUGGACACUCGUAUACAGGUGGUGCAUGGUUGUCGUCAGCUCGUGUCGUGAGAUGUUGGGUUAAGUCCCGCAACGAGCGCAACCCUCGUUCUAUGUUGCCAGCACGUAAUGGUGGGAACUCAUAGGAGACUGCCGGGGUCAACUCGGAGGAAGGUGGGGAUGACGUCAAAUCAUCAUGCCCCUUAUGUCUUGGGCUUCACGCAUGCUACAAUGGCCGGUACAAAGGGCUGCAAUACCGCAAGGUGGAGCGAAUCCCAAAAAGCCGGUCUCAGUUCGGAUUGAGGU
rnacentral:rRNA from 1 species